rnacentral:rRNA from 1 species
GAUGAACGCUAGCGGGAGGCUUAACACAUGCAAGUCGAGGGGCAGCAUAGGGUAGCAAUACUCUGAUGGCGACCGGCAAACGGGUGAGUAACGCGUAUGUAACCUACCCUGUACAGGGGGAUAACCCGGAGAAAUUCGGACUAAUAUCCCAUAACAAUAUCCGGGGGCAUCUUUGGAUAUUUAAAGUUCCGGCGGUACGGGAUGGGCAUGCGUAACAUUAGCUAGUUGGUAAGGUAACGGCUUACCAAGGCUUUGAUGUUUAGGGGUCCUGAGAGGGUGGUCCCCCACACUGGUACUGAGACACGGACCAGACUCCUACGGGAGGCAGCAGUGAGGAAUAUUGGUCAAUGGGCGCAAGCCUGAACCAGCCAUCCCGCGUGCAGGAAGACGGCGCUAUGCGUUGUAAACUGCUUUUCCACGGGAAGAACCCUCCGACGUGUCGGAGACUGACGGUACCGUGGGAAUAAGCAUCGGCUAACUCCGUG